GGGCUGUGACUCAGUGGGUACAUCAUCUGCUUCUCGUGCAGAAGAUCCCAGGUUCAAUCCCCGACAGCAUCU